CCUACGGGUGGCUGCAGUGGGGAAUAUUGCGCAAUGCUCGGAAGAGUGACGCAGCGACGCCGCGUGAAUGACGAAGGCCUCCGGGUCGUAAAGUUCUUUCGACAGGGAAGAAAAUGACUAUAAGUGACUGUGUAUGUAUUGACGGUACCUGUAUACGCAGCCCCGUCUAACUCCGUGCCAGCCGCCGCGGUAGUACGGAGGGGGCUAGCGUUGUUCGGAGUGACUGGGCGUAAAGAGCGCGUAGGCGGUGUUGCAAGUCAUUAGUCAAAGUCUGGAGCUCAACUUUAGUACUGCUAGUGAGACUAUAAUACUAGAGUUGCAGAGAGGUAGGCAGAAUGCCUGGUGUAGCGGUGAAAUGCGUAGAUAUCAGGAGGAACACCGUUAGCGAAGGCGGCAUUCUGGCUUGAAACUGACGCUGAGGUGCGAAAGCGUGGGUAGCAAACAGGAUUAGAUACCCUAGUAGUC
rnacentral:rRNA from 1 species